UGCCGGAUCGUCUAAUGGUAGGACACCACCCUUUGAAGGUGGUUAUCUAGGUUCGAACCCUAGUCCGGCAACCA
rnacentral:tRNA from 2 species